GUUAAGUGGCAACAAUACAAUGAACUAAAAUAAAACACUUUACCAAACCAACAGGAAAGGAAAAGCAUUUUGUCAUAAACGUUUUGUCUUCCUCUGUAGUUCAUGAUGAUUUUGAUAAAUGGAGCAUGAAUCUCAAUGUUACUCUUAUGCUUUGAAGAAGGAAACCGAGCAAGUUGUCUUUGGGAAAGGGAAAGGAUUCUAGGUCUCUCGUUUUUACUGUUUCCAGCUUCUCGUUUUUACUGUUUCCAUUUCUAUUUGGGAAAGGGAAGCUUCCAUGCAUGUUCUCUCUUUGAAGCAAGCAAGGAUUCUUUUGUAUGCUACAGGAUUCUUUUGAUCAUGAAAAUGUUGUCUCCUUCCCACUGAAGUUGUUACUUUUUAUACUCUUAAGUGAAAUCCAGUGAUUGGAAUAAAUCGUUUAGCUCAAUACAGCUCCCCUGUUGCAAGAUUAAGCUUCGGUCAGCGUGCUUCAUGAUUCCAUCAACACAUCUUUGUCUCCUAAAGAUUUUUCCACCGAAAGCCUUCGGAUGUAGAAAAAGUAGGGGUCAAAGCUGGGAGUUGAAGAUUGUCAUUUUGUGGCUGGAUUAUAAAUUUCAGAGGAAGAUAUGGAGUUGUCUUCUUCCCUCAGUGAAAUCUGAUGUUUGGCAGGAACACUUGUGUAUCUUCUUUCAUUGGUGUUUUUGAAUGAAAUAUGUUAAGUCUAACACUAAGGUGAAAAGAACAAAACAUGACGAAUCAGAGCUAAGCUACGGUCUUGCCCGUAGCCAGCGUUACGUCCCGUAGCACACCAGAAGCUGUGUCAUAUUCCAUUUUCACAACAGGGUUCAGACUGCUUAAGCUGUUUUAUUUCUGCAUCAGACACUAAUUUUAAGCCAUUCUUAAUAGAUUUUAGGCCUUCUGGUGUGUCACUUACAAGCAACUAGACAUACUUAAAUCAAACAUCAAGCCUUAUAGUGGUACCUUGAUGGAGUUCUCAGGAGACAAUGCAGAAGGCACGAGAUUCCUUGAAUUGUGACUUUCAUGGUCGAUGUGUGAAAAUUUUCAUUUCUGAAAAGGAUGUUGAUGGUCGAUGAAACGUUGGCAUACAACCUCGCCAUUGUAAGUAGACACAUGCUAAAUUCAAUUUGAGACCUUGUAUCAAAACCCCACUUAGCAAUGAAGUUUUCUUUAGAGAACAUGGAGAUUUCAACGUCAAGAAUAUUUUUAUGGAGUCCAACGUACAUGCCCGACAUGUUCUCAAUAUUUGGUGAUUAUUGUUCCUUUAUUUUUCUGCUUGUAUAGAAUUCUUAACUUCACAUUACAUGUUUGUCUGAAAGUUCACAACAAUGCCAUGAGCAAAAUUAGAUAUACAUUCUAAACAAAAUUUAACUUUUC